GAUCAAGAGCACAUAAAAUCACCUAAAGCAAACAUCGAAGAAGAUUCAUAUGGUUCAAGGAAGAAAAAGAAACAGAGUUUCCUAUGCUCAUUUUGUCCGCGUGUGUUAUCUACGUAUCUUGCGUUGGAAACGCACGAAAGAAAACAGCACUAAAUAUAAAAGCUCAACUUAAGGAAUGUCCAAUUUGUCAGAAGAAGUUCGAUGCGGAUUAUAUAAGAAAACAUAUCGACACUGUACACAGUAACGAGCGAAAUUUUCAUUGCGACAUAUGUGGUGAUUCAUAUAAGAGCAAACCUCAACUUAAGCGCCACAUGUUAUUACAUACGAAGGAACGCAAAGUUCCAUGCACUGUAUGUGAUAAGACAUUUGUCGAUAAAAGUGAACUUAAGGUACAUAUGCGAGUUCAUACAGGCGAAUUACCAUAUGCCUGCCAUUUAUGUGAUCGUCGAUUCAGAAUUAAAGUCCGUCUCACAUACCAUUUGCAAAAACAUGCUAAUAUUAAGCGAAUAUGUAAUGUAUGCGGCAAAGAGUUCAAAACUGGCACAUCGUUAAGAAAACAUUCAUUUGAACAUACUGGCUUAAUGCCAUAUAAAUGCAAUAUUUGCAAUUAUGGAAGCGUGAAGCGUGAAUAUUUUAUUACACAUAUGCAACGCAAGCACGACAAAACUAUGACGGCAGAUGAAUUAUAUGUAAUGUUCAAAGUAAAUACUGGCCGAACUCCAUACGUUAAGCCCGUCGACGACAUAGAAACAGCGAAGAAAGCACAUCCGGAAUACUUUGAGAGUAAUAAGUUAUAAAAAAUUUUAAUUCCUAAAAGUUAAAGUGGAUACAUUCUUUGGAUCGUUUACAGUCAACUGCUUAUACAUAUAAAUUAAACGCUUGCAAUGCGACCUUGUACAACUGUUCGUGGCAGAUUAUUGAUGUGUAGAAGGGUUUGCUAAUUUACGUACAUGAUGGAGGUAAAAACCACUCCGUUUCUCAGUAUGCUGCGGAAGCCCUUUAAAUUGCAGCUUCAGGCCCCCCUGAAUUUUCAUUGAAAAUAUCGUACCAUUGAUUUUCACACGAUCGUUGAACACAACCAGCCAGUUGAUCAUUGAUGAAUACUAUACCAUCGCUUAUCGGUGUAUUUGGUGCUAGGUUAUUAAAUGUUGCGCUGCAACUAGUGGUAGGCUCUUGGCUCUGGGUUCCGGGUUACAGUGAAAUCACUGGAAACUGCACGGUCGAGGAGCUGGACCGUGGGAAUUUGAUCAGCUCAGCGGGCGUUGGGCGAAGUUCUUGGCAUGCAAGGUGGCAAAGUCCUUUUGGCCAUGUGUAAACCUAGGGCGGUCCAGGAACCGCUUCAGUCUAAAUGCUUAAACAGACUCCAGCGUAGCAGUUAAUUCCGAGUUGAUCCGGAUCAACACUGCCGUCUGUUUAUGCUUUAAGCCAGGAACACUUCUCGCUAGUGAUGGGAGUUCUAACUGGUUGUUGUUGUUGUUGUUGUAGCGGCUA